AAUGAAAAUCUUCUACAAGCUCAAAUCAAUCAAACGAAGUGGCAGUACUUAAAGAAACACUUCAAGAGAUGACAUCUAAGUAUGAAGAAGUAAGCAAAAAAUAUGAAGUUUUAUCAACUAAUCAUGAAGGUGUAUCUCAAACGCUAUUUGCUUUGGCGAACUUUGUAUCUGAAAAGUUCCCUGGACAACAUUGGAUGCCAUCACAAGUGAACAAAUAUCAGUUCAAUGAUGACGGUAGCGGUGGAAAUGUGCAACAAGAUGUUUCAUCACGUUUAAGUCGAGGUUUUGGUAGCAAUGAAGCUUGAUAUAGAAGUUUUGAUUGUUCUGUUUAUGAAGCCUCUAUCGGUAAGGUGCUGCAGAGUCAGAAUUGGAUGAGAUUUUUUGAACUAUGGAAUCACCUUAAAGAUUUUGAGAAGGAAAAGGGCCAAAAGCUGAUUGAAAAUUAAGGAGAAAUAGAUUAGCAUAAAUGUAUAACUUUGGAUAUUUUCAGUUUUGAUAUCUUUAAAACAAUACAUUUGAAUGUUAAUUUGAAGAUAUUGGGUAGAUAUUACAAUCAAAUUUUUGUA